GAUGAACGCUGGCGGCGUGCCUAAUACAUGCAAGUCGAGCGAACAGACGAGGAGCUUGCUCCUCUGACGUUAGCGGCGGACGGGUGAGUAACACGUGGAUAACCUACCUAUAAGACUGGGAUAACUUCGGGAAACCGGAGCUAAUACCGGAUAAUAUAUUGAACCGCAUGGUUCAAUAGUGAAAGACGGUUUUGCUGUCACUUAUAGAUGGAUCCGCGCCGCAUUAGCUAGUUGGUAAGGUAACGGCUUACCAAGGCAACGAUGCGUAGCCGACCUGAGAGGGGGAUCGGCCACACUGGAACUGAGACACGGUCCAGACUCCUACGGGAGGCGGCAGUAGGGAAUCUUCCGCAAUGGGCGAAAGCCUGACGGAGCAACGCCGCGUGAGUGAUGAAGGUCUUCGGAUCGUAAAACUCUGUUAUUAGGGAAGAACAAAUGUGUAAGUAACUAUGCACGUCUUGACGGUACCUAAUCAGAAAGCCACGGCUAACUACGUG
rnacentral:rRNA from 1 species